AACAUUAAGAGAGCCUAUUCUGUUCUAUGAUGAGGUAGUUUUAUACGAAGACGAAUUGGCUGAUAACGGAGUGUCACUUCUAACUGUGAAAGUGAGAGUCAUGCCAAGUUCUUGGUUUCUACUCCUGCGAUUUUGGCUUCGGGGUUGAUGGAGUGCUAAUGCGAUUAAGGGACACCAGCAUGCAUUGUGUUUUCGAUGAGAGUGCUAAUCCUGUCAUUCUUAGGGA